GACGAACGCUGGCGGCGUGCUUAACACAUGCAAGUCGAACGAUGAAGCACCAGCUUUCCGGUGUGGAUUAUUGGCGAACGGGUGAGUAACACGUGUGUAACCUUCCCCUCACUCUGGGAUAUGCCUGGGAAACUGGGUCUAAUACUGGAUACGACCGAUCUCCGCUUGGUGUUUUGUUGGUUUGUUUUUGUGGUGGGUGAUGGACUCGCUGCCUAUCAGCUUGUUGGUGGGGUAGUGGCCUACCAAGGCGACGACGGGUAUCCGGCCUGAGAGGGCGACCGGCCACACUGGGACUGAGACACGGCCCAGAAUACUACGGGAGGCAGCAGUGGGGAAUAUUGCAGAAUGGGCGAAAGCAUGAUGAAGAGAAGCCGCGUGAGGGAUGACGGCCAUCGGGUUGUAAACCACAUUCAACAGGGAAGAAGCUAAAGUGACGGUAACUGGAGAAGAAGCACCGGCUAACUACGUG
rnacentral:rRNA from 1 species